UCCGAUAAGGGCAAAACCAGAGAGAUCUGGCGACGCAAAGCCACGGGUCCUGAUCACAGGACAGCCGGGUUGCCGAAG
rfam:Geothermobacter sp. EPR-M contig_2, whole genome shotgun sequence.